CAGCUCAACUGAAAGAGACUCAGCUUUUAUAUUGGAUGUUGGACCCCUGCCCUUCUUCAUCAUUGUUGUCCAUAUAUGAGCAAAGAGCAGCUUAUUAACAUCCUCCUGAAGAGGCAUUACUCAUUUGAUCUUCUACUGCUCCUUAUUUUUCUUAAUGUUAAUAUGACUAGAAUAAAAUGUUUUCCUUAUUCGCAUUCUGUCAUGGGAGCAGAAUUCAAAACAGUGAUAAAUUAGAAUAACUGAAUGAUAGCCAGCAUGUCCACAUAACAGUUCUCCCCAGCAACCAACAGCUGUGAGCCAAAAGGUACUAUAAGCAGACCAGCUUUUCAGAAGAACAGACAGACUGUUUAACCUUGGCAACUCUAAGAUCUGUAAACUUCAACUCCAGCUAUGCUGAAUGGGGAAUUCUGGGAGCUGAAAUCCACAAUUCUUAAAGGACCCAAGCCAACAAAGGCAGAAAGCGGAGAGAGAAACUGAGCCAAGAUGGACCACUGAGAAACAAGACUAGAUAUUAGGAUGCUCAGGGAAGUAUAAAUUUGCAGAAAUGUGAACAGAAAACGAAAGACACAAACUGAACAUGGCAAUCUUUCCCCCUCAACCCCUCGCCUCACAAAUCAACCCUUUCAGCUACAAAAUGAAGAUUGACAGUUAGUAUGAAAAACGGAAAAAGGGGUGGGGUGGGGAACAAGUGUUGUUUGCCAUGUUUCACUUGUUGCAGCUUAUGCUACUAUAGGAAAGAAAAUUGCUGGCUAAAAUACUAAAAAAGAAACUUCCUUUCUAAUUGUAAUCUACAAUUUCCUACUUGUAGAUUGUAAUGCUUGCCUUAUUUGUAUGCUGGUUACCAUGACAAGAGUUUGUUUUCUGAGCAUGUGCAUGGCGAGACAAACCAGAAGCUAUAGCAUCCCAUAAUUUCUAGUAACUAUUAGUUUUCCUUGUCUUUUCAACAAAACACAGAAUGUAAAAGACAUACUGCAUAUUAUUUUUAAUAUAGUUGCUGGCAGGCUAAGAAGGUGUCGUCUAAGCCAUGCUGAGCAUCUUGGGGGAGAAAGCCCCGCAGUUAUGUGUCUCUCCCAAACUAUUUUUGGAAACGUGCAACAAUUGCCCAAGAUCAUUGAAAUCCAUAGCAUACAUUCUUGUUGUUUCCUAAUGUAUACCUAAAAAAUGAAUUAGAUAAGCAAAGCAUACAUACUUUAAAUAUCACCCAGUCCCAGAACCUCUUGAAAGUAAUAAUGCAAAACAAUUUUAGAAAAAUCUCACCCAUUUGUGUGAUGUCACUAAGACCUCUGUAGUUCCCAGAAUACAUAUCAAGAAAAGCCAUGACAUCAUUGUACAAAUUAUGACAUGAAUAAAUAUAUUUGCUUAAGCUUAAUUACA